rnacentral:rRNA from 1 species
AUUGAACGCUGGCGGCAUGCUUUACACAUGCAAGUCGAACGAGUGGCGAACGGGUGAGUAAUGACUGGGAAACUGCCUGAUGGAGGGGGAUAAAUACUGGAAACGGUAGCUAAUACCGCAUACCAUCAGAUGUGCCCAGAUGGGAUUAGCUAGUUGGUGGGGUAACGGCUACCCAAGGCGACGAUCCCUAGCUGGUCUGAGAGGAGGACCAGCCACACGGGAACUGGGACACGGUCCAGAGUCCUACGGGAGGCAGCAGUGGGGAAUAUUGCACAAUGGGCGCAAGCCUGAUGCAGCCAUGCCGCGUGUAUGAAGAAGGCCUUCGGGUUGUAAAGUACUUUCAGCGAGGAGGCGUUACCCGCAGAAGAAGCACCGGCUAACUCCGUGCCAGCAGCCGCGGUAAUAC